rnacentral:rRNA from 1 species
UGAGGUCUAGGUUGCCGGGGGCGGGGUAAGUGGGAGGGGGGGAGCGGUGUCCGGGAUUAUGGGGCGGAGAUGGCGGGGAGGCGGGUGGUGGGGUCAGCUAGGAAAAUGCUGGGCGUAGCUGCGCACGUGCAGUGGGGACGGGCAGGCUAGGGUGCGGUAGGGGGGACUGGGAUUCCUGGUGUAGCGGUGGAAUGCGCAGAUAUCAGGAGGAACACCGAUGGCGAAGGCAUGUCACUGGGCCGUUACUGACGCUGAGGAGCGAAAGCAUGGGGAGCGAACAGGAUUAGAUACCCCAGUAGUC